AUGCACGCUAGCGGGAGGCCUAACACAUGCAAGCCGAGCGGUAUUGUUUCUUCGGAAAUGAGAGAGCGGCGUACGGGUGCGUAACACGUGUGCAACCUGCCUUUAUCUGGGGGAUAGCCUUUCGAAAGGAAGAUUAAUACUCCAUAAUAUAUUGAACGGCAUCGUUUAAUAUUGAAAGCUCCGGCGGAUAGAGAUGGGCACGCGCAAGAUUAGCUAGUUGGUGAGGUAACGGCUCACCAAGGCGAUGAUCUUUAGGGGGCCUGAGAGGGUGAUCCCCCACACUGGUACUGAGACACGGACCAGACUCCUACGGGAGGCAGCAGUGAGGAAUAUUGGUCAAUGGGUGCAAGCCUGAACCAGCCAUCCCGCGUGAAGGACGACUGCCCUAUGGGUUGUAAACUUCUUUUGUAUAGGGAUAAACCUACCCUCGAGAGGGUAGCUGAAGGUACUAUACGAAUAAGCACCGGCUAACUCCGUG
rnacentral:rRNA from 1 species